AAAGAGACAAACCCUGGGUUUUCGUGUCCAACUUUGACUGUCUGUCUUAUAUAAAUUUUUUUAUAAUUCGUAUUUUUAUUGUUGUUAGAUGAUAAAACAUGAUUAAUAUUUUAUGCGCGACUUGUCUUUUUAAAUUUUUUUAUAAUUUUUUCAAAUAAGAUGGACGGUCAAACGUUGGACACGAAAAUUAGGGUU
rfam:Oryza sativa Japonica Group DNA, chromosome 10, cultivar: Nipponbare, complete sequence.